rnacentral:rRNA from 1 species
GACGAACGCUGGCGGCGUGCUUAACACAUGCAAGUCGAACGGAAAGGCCUCUUUCGGGGGGUACUCGAGUGGCGAACGGGUGAGUAACACGUGAGUAACCUGCCCUUGACUUUGGGAUAACUUCAGGAAACUGGGGCUAAUACCGGAUAGGAGCUCCUGCUGCAUGGUGGGGGUUGGAAAGUUUCGGCGGUUGGGGAUGGACUCGCGGCUUAUCAGCUUGUUGGUGGGGUAGUGGCUUACCAAGGCUUUGACGGGUAGCCGGCCUGAGAGGGUGACCAGCCACAUUGGGACUGAGAUACGGCCCAGACUCCUACGGGAGGCAGCAGUGGGGAAUAUUGCACAAUGGGUGGAAGCCUGAUGCAGCAACGCCGUGUGCGGGAUGACGGCCUUCGGGUUGUAAACCGCCUUCGCUCAUGACGAAGCUUUGUGUGACGGUAGUGGGUAAAGAAGCACCGGCUAACUACGUG